rnacentral:lncRNA from 1 species
GUGCGGGGCGCAGCGCCGCGUCCACCCCGCAACGCGCAUACGGAAGGGAAAUUUCCCUUCCUCUUUUGGGUUUGGAGAAGCUGGAGGCCUGAANAACAGCUGAUGAGCUGGGGAACAGCGCUCUCUAGUGCACUAUGAUGGGCGCAAGAUGGUACUUGCUAUUCUCCUCCCUCCAUAAUAUUCUCACAACAACCAGGCUAAGAAGGAGCGACUCGUCCAAGAUCACCUGGAGAGAUUCCAGUCCUUGCGCUGGCUGCACUUCCCAAACAAUUUUCAAGGGCUGCCCUGUGUAGCUUCCAUUGCAGCAACUGAGAUCAGAUGAUUUGCCCAUGCAGUAUCAUGACUGAACUAUCUUGGUCCAGCAACAACUUCACUAG